rnacentral:tmRNA from 1 species
CCCCUUUUCACUGGCGACCGGGCAUCCUAUAUAGGGAGUGCCGCGCAAGCGGAUAUGGCGAUAAAUGAGCGGUGAAAUAAACCAUUCGGACCCGGGGGCGGUACCCGGCGCCUCCACCACAAUCCGGCGAAACCGUCGGAUCUCAACGGCCACGGAUGCGGCCGGAUUGUGCUGGGGGCGAAACAGGAUCGACGAGGGUGUAAAGAUCGUCUUUUUGCUCGGCAUUGUACCACCGUUAUCGGACUAAACUUGUAGUUGCAAAUGACAACUAUGCGGAAGCUCGUCUCGCUGCUUAAUUGCGGUGUGACACUUCAAACUAAGUCCUAAGGGGUCGCACUCUUGGGCGGGGUUCGGAGGUACCUGGCAACAGAAACCUCCACC